CAGCAUGACACUGAAACCAAAGGAGAAGCAGGUAGGAGAAGGACAGGUAGAGCAGGCGCUGUAGAAGCGCCCAGGGGCUGCUCCUCCUGCUCACACACAGAGCUCUUUUGAUUUCUUCCUGUGGGGCCGUGUCCAGAAGCUGACCAUUUGGGCAUACCCCACUUCCCCUGGCUUCCUGGAAGACAAGCUCAUCUGCUGUAUUGGGAAGAACCCAGACCCAGUGGUCUUCAGCCUGUGCUGCCAUGGGGUGCACGUGAAGCUGGAAGUCAGCCCCCGGCAGCUGUAUUUUGACAAGCUGCUUCUGCACAGGACUGACAGCAGGACCUUGGUCCUGAGAAACAACACCCUGCUGCCCAUGGCCUGGCAGCUCAAUGGGCUGGAUGACCUUGUUGAGGACUUCUCCUUGUCACAAAAUAAUGGCACCAUUGAUCCCCACUCAGAGUUUGAAGUGACACUGCAAUUCAAGGCUGGGCAGAUUGGCAGCAUUGAGAAGACCCUCCGACUAGAGGUUUCAGAUACAGAAAACAUCCUGGGGAUUGUCCAGGCUGAAAACAUCAAAGUCUCUGCAGAGGUCUAUGAUGUCUCUCUGAGCAUCGACAUGCCUGAAGGUC